rnacentral:rRNA from 1 species
GGAGCUAAUACCGGAUAACAUUUGGAACCGCAUGGUUCUAAAGUGAAAGAUGGUUUUGCUAUCACUUAUAGAUGGACCCGCGCCGUAUUAGCUAGUUGGUAAGGUAACGGCUUACCAAGGCGACGAUACGUAGCCGACCUGAGAGGGUGAUCGGCCACACUGGAACUGAGACACGGUCCAGACUCCUACGGGAGGCAGCAGUAGGGAAUCUUCCGCAAUGGGCGAAAGCCUGACGGAGCAACGCCGCGUGAGUGAUGAAGGGUUUCGGCUCGUAAAACUCUGUUAUUAGGGAAGAACAAAUGUGUAAGUAACUGUGCACGUCUUGACGGUACCUAAUCAGAAAGCCACGGCUAACUACGUGCCAGCAGCCGCGGUAAUACGUAGGUGGCAAGCGUUAUCCGGAAUUAUUGGGCGUAAAGCGCGCGUAGGCGGUUUCUUAAGUCUGAUGUGAAAGCCCACGGCUCAACCGUGGAGGGUCAUUGGAAACUGGGAAACUUGAGUGCAGAAGAGGAAAGUGGAAUUCCAUGUGUAGCGGUGAAAUGCGCAGAGAUAUGGAGGAACACCAGUGGCGAAGGCGACUUUCUGGUCUGUAACUGACGCUGAUGUGCGAAAGCGUGGGGAUCAAACAGGAUUAGAUACCCUGGUAGUCCACGCCGUAAACGAUGAGUGCUAA